AGGACGAACGCUGGCGGCGUGCUUAACACAUGCAAGUCGAGCGGAAAGGCCCUUCGGGGUACUCGAGCGGCGAACGGGUGAGUAACACGUGAGUAAUCUGCCCCUAGCUCUGGGAUAGCUCCGGGAAACCGGGAUUAAUACCAGAUAUGACCACUUUAGACAUCUGCUGUGGUGGAAAGAAUUUCGGCUAGGGAUGAGCUCGCGGCCUAUCAGCUUGUUGGUGGGUAAUGGCCUACCAAGGCGACGACGGGUA
rnacentral:rRNA from 1 species